rnacentral:rRNA from 1 species
UACGGGGGGAGCAAGCGUUGUUCGGAUUUACUGGGCGUAAAGGGCGCGUAGGCGGCCAGCACAAGUCAGUUGUGAAAUCUCCGAGCUUAACUCGGAAAGGUCAACUGAUACUGUGCGGCUAGAGUGCGGAAGGGGCAACUGGAAUUCUUGGUGUAGCGGUGAAAUGCGCAGAUAUCAGGAGGAACACCAGCGGCGAAGGCGGCGCUCUGGGCCGGAACUGACGCUGAGGAGCGAAAGCGUGGGUAGCAAACAGG